rnacentral:rRNA from 1 species
GUGCCAGCAGCCGCGGUAAUACGGAGGGGGUUAGCGUUGUUCGGAAUUACUGGGCGUAAAGCGUACGUAGGCGGAUUAGUCAGUCAGAGGUGAAAUCCCAGGGCUCAACCCUGGAACUGCCUUUGAUACUGCUAGUCUUGAGUUCGAGAGAGGUGAGUGGAAUUCCAAGUGUAGAGGUGAAAUUCGUAGAUAUUUGGAGGAACACCAGUGGCGAAGGCGGCUCACUGGCUCGAUACUGACGCUGAGGUACGAAAGUGUGGGGAGCAAACAGGAUUAGAUACCCUGGUAGUCCACACCGUAAACGAUGAAUGCCAGUCGUCGGGCAGUAUACUGUUCGGUGACACACCUAACGGAUUAAGCAUUCCGCCUGGGGAGUACGGUCGCAAGAUUAAAACUCAAA